rnacentral:rRNA from 1 species
AGAGAGAGUUCAAGAGUACGUGAAACCGUUCAGGGGUAAACCUGAGAAACCCAAAAGAUCGAAUGGGGAGAUUCAUCGUCAGCGGCCGUUGGCUUCCGUGCGGUUAGCGAUGUCCGGGACCUCGGUCCCGCGGCACGCAGCCGCUGCGGCAUGUCCGACGUCGUCGGCGUGCACUUCUCCCCUAGUAGGACGUCGCGACCCGUUGGGUGCCGGCCUACGGCCCGGUUGGUCGACUGCCGCGUCUCGUUCACGCGGGUACGCGGCAGACCACCGGUCGCCCGGCCGGCUGCCCGGCGGUAUAGAUCGCUAUUGAAACGGUAUUGGGCCGCAUUAAGUGCGUUCAGGCUCGUCGGCAGGCUCGUCUCUCUCGGAUUUACGGACCCAGCGCCGUUGCCGGGUGCUUGGCG